GCAGAUGUAGCCAAGUGGUCGACGGCGCCGGACUUGAGAUCCGGUGAGCAUUCGCUCUCGUGGGUUCGACUCCCCCCAUCUGCGCCA
rnacentral:tRNA from 1 species